AUUGGCUGCUGCAGGUCGUGUGGUUAUCCAGAGGCGAGCAGAGGGAAAGUGAACUCCUGGAGAGCAGAGACCCCCUGCAAGGAUGUAACAACCUCCCCGCCAGUUGAAGAGGCCCCUAGUUCUGCCGAUGCACCAGAGGCCCCCUGCCCCAAGGCUGUGCAUGGACCCACCCACAACCCGGCAAUACACCAACCAGAAACCAAUCCCCCAAGACUCAGCCAGAGCCCCGGCCCGGAGGCGGAGCACCCCCAGAACCACAAGACCGCCCCAGAUCCACCCCAGGG
ensembl:lncRNA